AGCGAACGUUAGCGGCGGGCCUAACACAUGCAAGUCGAACGAGAAUGUAGGCUUCGGUCUACUAGUAAAGUGGCGGACGGGUGCGUAACACGUGGGUAAUCUACCUUCCGGCGGGGGACAACAGUCCGAAAGGAUUGCUAAUACCGCAUACGUCAGCGGUGCCUACGGGCACUGUUGGGAAAGAUUGCCUCUCCUUGGAAGCUGUCACCGGAAGAUGAGCCCGCGUCCCAUCAGCUAGUUGGUGAGGUAAUGGCUCACCAAGGCUAAGACGGGUAGCUGGUCUGAGAGGAUGAUCAGCCACACUGGGACUGCGACACGGCCCAGACUCCUACGGGAGGCAGCAGUGGGGAAUAUUGGGCAAUGGGCGAAAGCCUGACCCAGCCACGCCGCGUGAGUGAUGAAGGCCUUCGGGUCGUAAAGCUCUGUGGGGAGGGACGAACAAGUUCUGGGCUAAUCACCAGGACCCUGACGGUACCUCCUUAGCAAGCACCGGCUAACCCUGUGCCAGCAGCCGCGGUAACAC
rnacentral:rRNA from 1 species